GACGAACGCUGGCGGCGUGCUUAACACAUGCAAGUCGAACGGAAAGGCCCUGCUUUUGUGGGGUGCUCGAGUGGCGAACGGGUGAGUAACACGUGAGUAACCUGCCCUUGACUUUGGGAUAACUUCAGGAAACUGGGGCUAAUACCGGAUAGGAGCUCCUGCUGCAUGGUGGGGGUUGGAAAGUUUCGGCGGUUGUGGAUGGACUCGCGGCUUAUCAGCUUGUUGGUGGGGUAGUGGCUUACCAAGGCUUUGACGGGUAGCCGGCCUGAGAGGGUGACCGGGCACAUUGGGACUGAGAUACGGCCCAGACUCCUACGGGAGGCAGCAGGGGAGAAUAUUGCACAAUGGGCGGAAGCGUGAUGCAGCAGCGCCGCGUGCGGGAUGACGGCCUUCGGGGUGUAAACCGCUUUCGCCUGUGACGAAGCGUGAGUGACGGUAAUGGGUAAAGAAGCACCGGCUAACUACGUG
rnacentral:rRNA from 1 species